GCCAGACUCCUACGGGAGGCAGCAGUGGGGAAUAUUGCACAAUGGGGGAAACCCUGAUGCAGCGACGCCGCGUGAGUGAAGAAGUAUUUCGGUAUGUAAAGCUCUAUCAGCAGGGAAGAUAAUGACGGUACCUGACUAAGAAGCCCCGGCUAACUACGUGCCAGCAGCCGCGGUAAUACGUAGGGGGCAAGCGUUAUCCGGAUUUACUGGGUGUAAAGGGUGCGCAGGUGGCAGGGCAAGUCAGAUGUGAAAGCCCGGGGCUCAACCCCGGUAUUGCAUUUGAAACUGUCCGGCUAGAGUGCAGGAGAGGUAAGCGGAAUUCCUAGUGUAGCGGUGAAAUGCGUAGAUAUUAGGAGGAACACCAGUGGCGAAGGCGGCUUACUGGACUGUAACUGACACUGAGGCGCGAAAGCGUGGGUAGCGAACGGGAUUAGAUACCCCUGUA
rnacentral:rRNA from 1 species